UGAGUGAAGAAGGCCUUCGGGUUGUAAAGCUCUUUUGUCAGGGAAGAAACGGCUCAGGCUAAUAUCCUGGGCUAAUGACGGUACCUGAAGAAUAAGCACCGGCUAACUACGUGCCAGCAGCCGCGGUAAUACGUAGGGUGCAAGCGUUAAUCGGAAUUACUGGGCGUAAAGCGUGCGCAGGCGGUUUUGUAAGUCUGUCGUGAAAGCCCCGGACUUAACCUGGGAAUUGCGAUGGAGACUGCAAGGCUUGAAUCUGGCAGAGGGGGGUAGAAUUCCACGUGUAGCAGUGAAAUGCGUAGAGAUGUGGAGGAACACCGAUGGCGAAGGCAGCCCCCUGGGUCAAGAUUGACGCUCAUGCACGAAAGCGUGGGGAGCAAACAGGAUUAGAUACCCUGGUAGUCCACGCCCUAAACGA
rnacentral:rRNA from 1 species